GGAUAGAAAUAGGCCCAAUGGGAAGCAGAUUUUGCUUAAGACCAACAGCAUUGCUGCCUGUCAGGCCUGCACAGACACUGAAGGGUUACCCUGCAAACGCUGAGAUCCCUGGCCGCGGAGAUGCCUUAACAGAGCCUGAAGAACCGUUUGGCUGGAUUUCGUAACAACUGUGCAUCUUGCAGGGCUGGGCACCAGUGAAGGUGAGUUCCAGGCUCUGUCUCAGUCAUGGGAGGACAAGAGGAUGCUCCGACAGGUGUGCUGCUUGUUGUCAAAGCUCUGGAACAUACCAAAGGGCAGGUUUUCUAUAUAUGUGUACAUGAGUUUUAUAUUCAAAGGUUUCCUUUUUCCUAAAGUCUAAAAUAUGAGUGAAUACCUAGUGGGUCAUUGACCUCCCAGAGAAUUUUCUAUACUCAUGGUGUGAAUUGGGGGAGCGAGGUGAAUGAGGUAGGACAGUGGAGGUGAAUACAUUAAGUUAGUUUUUCCCAAUCUGUGGUAUGGGUACCCCUGAAGUAAGCAUGAUAGUUUGGGGUGGUAUACAGAUGUACAUUUUAAUGUGUUCAUAGUGUGAUGUUUAUUUCAUGUGCAUUAGAAUAAAAACAAUAACAACAAUGUC